UGAGCUAUGAGGAUAAGAAUUUGACCGUGAUAAACCCUGAUGACUUAAUACGCUAUUCUGAGCCAUGG
ensembl:snoRNA small nucleolar RNA, C/D box 54